UGUCUUUUAGAUUUUAUUAAAAGUCUGACCUGCCCAAUGAUAUAAUUGAAUGGCCGCGGUAUUUUGACCGUGCAAAGGUAGCAUAAUCAUUUGUCUCUUAAUUAGAGGCUAGAAUGAAUGGUUGGACGAGAAAUCAGCUUUCUUUAAUAUAUAAUUAGAACUUAAUUUUUGAGUCAAAAAGCUUAAAUUUUAUUAAGGGACGAGAAGACCCUAUAGAACUUUAUUAGUUUAUUAGACCACACAAUUUUUUGGUUUACUUGUGUGGUCUUUAUGUACUAAUUGUGUUGGGGUGACAUAGAAAUUUAAUUAACUUUCUUUUUAUUAUAAUCAUUAAUUAGUGUAUUUUUAGAUCCAGGUGUUUCUUGAUUGUAAGUUUAAGUUACCUUAGGGAUAACAGCGUAAUUCUUUUGGAGAGUCCUAAUCGAUGAAAGAGUUUGCGACCUCGAUGUUGGAUUAAAAUUAGUAUUAGGAGUAGAAGAUUAUAUACUAGGUCUGUUCGACCUUUAAAUUUUUACA
rnacentral:rRNA from 1 species